rnacentral:rRNA from 1 species
GACGUAGGGCGCGAGCGUUGUCCGGAUUUAUUGGGCGUAAAGAGCUCGUAGGCGGCUUGUCGCGUCGACUGUGAAAUCCCGCGGCUCAACUGCGGGUCUGCAGUCGAUACGGGCAGGCUAGAGUUCGGUAGGGGAGACUGGAAUUCCUGGUGUAGCGGUGAAAUGCGCAGAUAUCAGGAGGAACACCGGUGGCGAAGGCGGGUCUCUGGGCCGAUACUGACGCUGAGGAGCGAAAGCGUGGAGAGCGAACAGG